rnacentral:rRNA from 1 species
GACGUAGGGGGCAAGCGUUGUCCGGAUUUAUUGGGCGUAAAGAGCGUGUAGGCGGCCAUGCAGGUCCGUUGUGAAAACUCGAGGCUCAACCUCGAGACGUCGAUGGAAACCGCAUGGCUAGAGUCCGGAAGAGGAGAGUGGAAUUCCGUGGUGUAGCGGUGAAAUGCGCAGAUAUCAGGAAGAACACCCGUGGCGAAGGCGGCUCUCUGGGACGGUACUGACGCUGAGACGCGAAAGCGUGGGGAGCGAACAGG